GGGGGCAGUUUUAUGUUCGAACAAAAUGUUCUUCCAUUUAUACUUCAGUGUGUCCUGUCCAAGUAGACAUUUGUUGAUUUCAUGACUAAAAAAAAUAUUUUUUAUGUUCGUCAUGUGUAGAUAAAUAUAGAUAAACAUACCUAUUAUAUCAAGUUUUGUUGUUAAUUUUCUUCAGUGAAGCUUCUUCAAUCACGAUCAAAAACCAAACUUCCGGUACAUUAAUACGUCAC
rnacentral:lncRNA from 1 species